AUUGAACGCUGGCGGCAUGCCUUACACAUGCAAGUCGAACGGCAGCACGGGUGCUUGCACCUGGUGGCGAGUGGCGAACGGGUGAGUAAUACAUCGGAACAUGUCCUGUAGUGGGGAAUAGCCCGGCGAAAGCCGGAUUAAUACCGCAUACGAUCUACGGAUGAAAGCGGGGGACCUUCGGGCCUCGCGCUAUAGGGUUGGCCGAUGGCUGAUUAGCUAGUUGGUGGGGUAAAGGCCUACCAAGGCGACGAUCAGUAGCUGGUCUGAGAGGACGUCCAGCCACACUGGGACUGAGACACGGCCCAGACUCCUACGGGAGGCAGCAGUGGGGAAUUUUGGACAAUGGGCGAAAGCCUGAUCCAGCAAUGCCGCGUGUGUGAAGAAGGCCUUCGGGUUGUAAAGCACUUUUGUCCGGAAAGAAAUCCUUGGCCCUAAUACGGUCGGGGGAUGACGGUACCGGAAGAAUAAGCACCGGCUAACUACGUG
rnacentral:rRNA from 1 species